CACCCUACUUCAGUCCCCGGCCCUCUUGUUGUGUUUUCCGCCCACACCUGAGUGGCUGUGUGCUGUUUGCACAUUGCUGCCUGGUGACGAAUUCACUCUCUGCAACUGAACGGACAAUCUCAUGUACAUUCAGCAGGCAUCAGGAGCAUCUGGAAGCUGGGGUGGAGGGAGCACUCAUCUUCAGCUGAACCCCCUGGGUUCCAGAGCCUUGGCUUCAGAGGGGUUUCUAGGUCACCGUCUGUCCGUCAAUGCCCCGCUCUCAUGAGAUCCAGGAAAGAAGAACUGGACAGAGAGAACACAGGAGAACAUAGAGAGAGGGGAGGCCCACACAAGACAAACAUGGCAUAUUCCUCUCAAUGCUAGAAGAAGUAAUCUCCCAAAAAAGAAAGUUGCCACUUCUGACAUAUCCUGUGUGUAUAAAUUGUUAGUUAGAUCCUGAUAUGUUCCCAUCACUGAAGGCAAUCAUACAGGCCGCACUGACCAUCCCAGUUAGCGGCUGUGAGAGAUCUUUCAGUGCAUUAAUACAUCUAUAUACCUGGUUUAGGAGCCCAAUGACCCAAGAUAGAAUGCCUCAUGGCAAUUGACAAAGAUAUACAUACUAACACGCUUGGGAAAGAGUGAAGUCAUAGACAGGUUUGCAGCUACAGUUUCAUUUCAUUCUUAUUUUUAAGGAUGGACUAACAUCCUAGUACUCGCAAACAUUGUGAAUAUUUAGUUGGAGAAAAGGUUGUAUGCUGGUAUGUACAUGUGUGUAAAAUUGUGAAGUGUUGUUACUACAGGGUGUUGGAGAGGAUGUAUUUGUUUUUGUGUAAUUCAUUAGGUCGAAAUAUUGUCCUGUAGCUAAUUGACCUUGGAAUCUGUGAUUUAUUACCACAAAUGUUAUAAAAUCGUGAUUUUCAAGCGUGUUUGGUGCCUGCGUUUUUACAUAUUAUCUGCAAAAGUUGUCCCCCUCACACUCUACAGUUAUAAUACAAGCCUACUGCUAAUGUGAGUUUAUGCAGUUCCAACAUAAUCCAAAGGAUGGCAGUCUAAAAUCCCAAUCCUACUAUAUUGCACGUAACUACAUAAUUAUUUUGCAAAACAUACAUUUGUGGUUGAGUCUGCCACCAUUUGGAUUAUUUUGGAACUGCACAGUGUGCGUAGCAUGACUAGCUCACAGUAGUUAACAGUAAUGUGACCAACAUCAACAUCAGGCUUUUUUAAAAUGACCAAUCAAAUAUUGGACAUAGUUUAUGAAUACACUGCAACAAACGUAUAAAUACUUUAAUCAACAAUAUUUCUUCAUGAUAAAUUACGAUAUUGUUAUGCACUUGUAAUUUGUACUUGCUAAUAGAUUUUUGAAAAAAUAUUAUUGACAUCAUAUUCAAUGGGUUUACCGACCACAAUCCAUUCUAUUCAUUUUAAGAAGUGUUAAUUAUUUGGCGUCAGGAGAACACAGAGCAUGGAAAAAGCAUUGAGACAUGCAACAUAGCAUUAAAUCUUCACUGCUAGCGUGCGAGGCCAAGAGUGUGGGGCACUUAAUUGAAGUCACACAGGGAUCAAUUUUCCCCUUCCAACAAGUGGCCAUGCUGACUCCAGGAAUGGAUGCAAGGACUGAACAUCCAUUGAAGUUGUGGUUGUUUAUCCAUGUUUAAGGCUAUACAGUGUUUGUUAACAUUUAAAAUGUACAAACAUUGGAGUUAAAACAAGCUUAUAUGUUGGGCUCUGAUGGGGUAUGACAGUUGAACUAAGCUCACAAGUUAUAUUCUUCAAGAAUCAAUGAGUAUAUAUAAUUCAUUUAAAAAUGGAUGUACCAAUCACAUAUCGCCCCUUUAAAGCCCUUGGCCUAAGCAGACAAGAGACCAUUUUGGCUCCAAGUCAUGUGUCCCAGGGAGCCAGCAUCAGAGCCUUUCUCAAAGGAUAUUUUGCAUGAACCCCGUUGUCAAGGGCUUCACAGGCUCACCGAGUUGGGAAUGUGUUAAGGGAAUUUUUAUUAAUGAGGUCUAAUUAUGUAUACAUUUCAAUCAAAACUGACUAAUCAGAAUACUAUUAUGUUACUGUAUAUGUACUAAUCAGAAUACUAUUAUGUUACUGUAUAUGUAUGAAUUAUUUUUAAUCUUAGUACUGAAUUUAAUGUGUUUAAAUAUAAUCAAGAAUUAGAACAAUGACUGUCUGUUCCUUGGUAGAAAUGAAUGAACUUAUCUUCAGAAGCAUGUCCUUGGCUCGGUCGUAUAUUAUCUUAAUAGGGAAAGACGAUGUGAGAACCAUGCAGCCUUUGUAUUAGAACGGAGAUGGCACGGGUUGGUACUGGAACUAAUGACAUAAUUUUCAGUUUAUAACCUGUGGUAAAAUGUGUAAUGAGUAGUACUCUCGUGAAUAAAAGCUGCUGUUUGACUUUAA